rnacentral:rRNA from 1 species
AUUAGUUAAGGUCUUAAAACCCAAAGAAUUUGGCGGUAUCUCAUUCCAUUUAGAGGAACCUGUCUCUUAAUUGACAAUACACGAUUAACUUUACUUAAUUUAUUUGUUUGUAUAUCUCCGUUAUCAGAUGAUCUUUUUAGAGUUAUAAUUUUCUUAAUUUAUAAUUGUAAAAUAUUUCAGGUCAAGGUGCAGCUUAUAAUUAAGAUGAGUUGGGUUACAAUAGAUUUUUGUUUAUAUGGAUUUGAUUAUGAAAAAUGAUUAAUGAAGGUGGAUUUGAUAGUAAUUUAAUUUAUUUAAUUUAAUUGAUAUUGGCUCUGAGGUGUGUACACAU